GAGUUUGAUCCUGGCUCAGGAUGAACGCUGGCGGCGUGCCUAAUACAUGCAAGUCGAGCGAACGGACGAGAAGCUUGCUUCUCUGAUGUUAGCGGCGGACGGGUGAGUAACACGUGGAUAACCUACCUAUAAGACUGGGAUAACUUCGGGAAACCGGAGCUAAUACCGGAUGAUAUUUUGAACCGCAUGGUUCAAAAGUGAAAGACGGUCUUGCUGUCACUUAUAGAUGGAUCCGCGCUGCAUUAGCUAGUUGGUAAGGUAACGGCUUACCAAGGCAACGGUGCAUAGCCGACCUGAGAGGGUGAUCGGCCACACUGGAACUGAGACACGGUCCAGACUCCUACGGGAGGCAGCAGUAGGGAAUCUUCCGCAAUGGGCGAAAGCCUGACGGAGCAACGCCGCGUGAGUGAUGAAGGUCUUCGGAUCGUAAAACUCUGUUAUUAGGGAAGAACAUAUGUGUAAGUAACUGUGCACAUCUUGACGGUACCUAAUCAGAAAGCCACGGCUAACUACGUCG
rnacentral:rRNA from 1 species